CACACAUACAGCACCCUCACAAACACACACAGCACCCUCACACACAGCACACAAACAGCACCCUCACACACACACAGCACACUUAACAGUACCCUCACAAACACAAACAGGACCCUAACAAACACACACACAGCACACUACCAGUACCCUCACACAGAAACAGCACCCUCACACACAGUACAUUAACAGCACCCUCACAAGCGCACACACACACAAACAGCACCCUCACACACAGUACAUUAACCGCAUUCUCACAAGCACGCACACACAAACA